UACAGAGGUCUCAAGCGUUGUUCGGAUUCAUUGGGCGUAAAGGGUGCGUAGGCGGCGCGGUAAGUCGGGUGUGAAAUCUCGGAGCUUAACUCCGAAACUGCAUUCGAUACUGCCGUGCUUGAGGACUGGAGAGGAGACUGGAAUUUACGGUGUAGCGGUGGAAUGCGCAGAUAUCAGGGAGGACACCGAUGGCGAAGGCAGGUCUCUGGGCCAUUACUGACACUGAGAAGCGAAAGCAUGGGGAGCGAACAGG
rnacentral:rRNA from 1 species